rnacentral:rRNA from 1 species
UACGGGGGGGGCAAGCGUUGUUCGGAAUUACUGGGCGUAAAGGGCUCGUAGGCGGCCAACUAAGUCCGACGUGAAAUCCCCAGGCUUAACCUGGGAACUGCGUCGGAUACUGGAUGGCUUGAAUUCGGGAGAGGGAUGCAGAAUUCCAGGUGUAGCGGUGAAAUGCGUAGAUAUCCGGAGGAACACCGGUGGCGAAGGCGGCUUCCUGGACCGACACUGACGCUGAGGCGCGAAAGCUAGGGGAGCAAACGGG